GGCUGAUUGUCGGGGCCCCGCUGCAGACGGGAAACGUGAAUGAAACCGGCAAAGUCUACACGUGCGACGUGGGCUCCCAACAUUGCCAGGAGAUCCCCAUCCAGAGGCCCCUGGACGCGGUGAACAUGUCCCUCGGACUGUCCCUGGCUGCCCAUGGCUCUCAGCUCCUGGCCUGCGGCCCCACGGUGCACCGGGCCUGUGGGGAGAACAUGCACCUGAACGGCUACUGCUUCCUCCUGGACCAGAACCUCCGGCAGCUCCGGCGCAUCCAGG